rnacentral:rRNA from 1 species
CAGCCUGAUCCAGCCAUGCCGCGUGUGUGAAGAAGGCCUUCGGGUUGUAAAGCACUUUUGUCCGGAAAGAAAAGCAUCGGGUUAAUAACCCGGUGUUAUGACGGUACCGGAAGAAUAAGCACCGGCUAACUUCGUGCCAGCAGCCGCGGUAAUACGAAGGGUGCAAGCGUUACUCGGAAUUACUGGGCGUAAAGCGUGCGUAGGUGGUUUGUUAAGUCUGAUGUGAAAGCCCUGGGCUCAACCUGGGAACUGCAUUGGAAACUGGCUGACUAGAGUGCGGUAGAGGGGUGUGGAAUUCCCGGUGUAGCAGUGAAAUGCGUAGAUAUCGGGAGGAACAUCUGUGGCGAAGGCGACACCCUGGACCAGCACUGACACUGAGGCACGAAAGCGUGGGGAGCAAACAGGAUUAGAUACCCUGGUAGUCCACGCCCUAAACGAUGCGAACUGGAUGUUGGGGGCAACUUGGCCCUCAGUAUCGAAGCUAACGCGUUAAGUUCGCCGCCUGGGAAGUACGGUCGCAAGACUGAAACUCAAAGGAAUUGACGGGGGCCCGCACAAGCGGUGGAGUAUGUGGUUUAAUUCGAUGCAACGCGAAGAACCUUACCUGGCCUUGACAUGCACGGAACUUUCCAGA